AACGAACGCUGGCGGCAUGCCUAACACAUGCAAGUCGAACGAGACCUCCGGGCCUAGUGGCGCACGGGGGCGUAACGCGUGGGAACCUGCACUUAGGUUCGGAAUAACUCCCUUAAGGGGGUGCUAAUACCGGAUAAUGUCUUCGGACCAAAGAUCUAUCGCUGUUGGAUGGGCGCGGGUUGGAUUAGCUGGUUGGUAGGGUAAAAGCAUAUCAAGGCCACGUUGCUUAGCUGGUCUGUGAGGAUGCUUCGCAACAAUGGGACUGAGGCACGGCCCAGAAUCCUACGGAACGCAGCAGUAGGGAGUAUUAGACGAUGGACGAAGACCUGAUCCAGCAGUGCCGCGUGAGUGAUGAAGGCCUUAGGGUUGUAAAGCUCUUUUACCCGGAAUGAUAAUGACAGUACCGGGAGAAUAAGCUCCGGCUAACUCCGUG
rnacentral:rRNA from 1 species